rnacentral:rRNA from 1 species
GAUGUGGCGUUGCCCAGACAACUAGGAUGUUGGCUUAGAAGCAGCCAUCAUUUAAAGAGUGCGUAAUAGCUCACUAGUCGAGUGACACUGCGCCGAAAAUGUACCGGGGCUAAACAUAUUACCGAAGCUGUGGAUUGUCCUUUGGACAAUGGUAGGAGAGCGUUCUAAGGGCGUUGAAGCAUGAUCGUAAGGACAUGUGGAGCGCUUAGAAGUGAGAAUGCCGGUGUGAGUAGCGAAAGACGGGUGAGAAUCCCGUCCACCGAUUGACUAAGGUUUCCAGAGGAAGGCUCGUCCGCUCUGGGUUAGUCGGGUCCUAAGCUGAGGCCGACAGGCGUAGGCGAUGGAUAACAGGUUGAUAUUCCUGUACCACCUAUAAUCGUUUUAAUCGAUGGGGGGACGCAGUAGGAUAGGCGAAGCGUGCGAUUGGAUUGCACGUCUAAGCAGUAAGGCUGAGUAUUAGGCAAAUCCGGUACUCAUUAAGGCUGAGCUGUGAUGGGGAGAAGACAUUGUGUCUUCGAGUCGUUGAUUUCACACUGCCGAGAAAAGCCUCUAGAUAGAAAAUAGGUGCCCGUACCGCAAACCGACACAGGUAGUCAAGAUGAGAAUUCUAAGGUGAGCGAGCGAACUCUCGUUAAGGAACUCGGCAAAAUGACCCCGUAACUUCGGGAGAAGGGGUGCUCUUUAGGGUUAACGCCCAGAAGAGCCGCAGUGAAUAGGCCCAAGCGACUGUUUAUCAAAAACACAGGUCUCUGCUAAACCGUAAGGUGAUGUAUAGGGGCUGACGCCUGCCCGGUGCUGGAAGGUUAAGAGGAGUGGUUAGCUUCUGCGAAGCUACGAAUCGAAGCCCCAGUAAACGGCGGCCGUAACUAUAACGGUCCUAAGGUAGCGAAAUUCCUUGUCGGGUAAGUUCCGACCCGCACGAAAGGCGUAACGAUUUGGGCACUGUCUCAACGAGAGACUCGGUGAAAUCAUAGUACCUGUGAAGAUGCAGGUUACCCGCGACAGGACGGAAAGACCCCGUGGAGCUUUACUGUAGCCUGAUAUUGAAAUUCGGCACAGCUUGUACAGGAUAGGUAGGAGCCUUUGAAACGUGAGCGCUAGCUUACGUGGAGGCGCUGGUGGGAUACUACCCUAGCUGUGUUGGCUUUCUAACCCGCACCACUUAUCGUGGUGGGAGACAGUGUCAGGCGGGCAGUUUGACUGGGGCGGUCGCCUCCUAAAAGGUAACGGAGGCGCUCAAAGGUUCCCUCAGAAUGGUUGGAAAUCAUUCAUAGAGUGUAAAGGCAUAAGGGAGCUUGACUGCGAGACCUACAAGUCGAGCAGGGUCGAAAGACGGACUUAGUGAUCCGGUGGUUCCGCAUGGAAGGGCCAUCGCUCAACGGAUAAAAGCUACCCCGGGGAUAACAGGCUUAUCUCCCCCAAGAGUUCACAUCGACGGGGAGGUUUGGCACCUCGAUGUCGGCUCAUCGCAUCCUGGGGCUGUAGUCGGUCCCAAGGGUUGGGCUGUUCGCCCAUUAAAGCGGUACGCGAGCUGGGUUCAGAACGUCGUGAGACAGUUCGGUCCCUAUCCGUCGUGGGCGUAGGAAAUUUGAGAGGAGCUGUCCUUAGUACGAGAGGACCGGGAUGGACAUACCUCUGGUGUACCAGUUGUCGUGCCAACGGCAUAGCUGGGUAGCUAUGUGUGGACGGGAUAAGUGCUGAAAGCAUCUAAGCAUGAAGCCCCCCUCAAGAUGAGAUUUCCCAACUUCGGUUAUAAGAUCCCUCAAAGAUGAUGAGGUUAAUAGGUUCGAGGUGGAAGCAUGGUGACAUGUGGAGCUGACGAAUACUAAUCGAUCGAAGACUUAAUCAA